AUGGUUUGCGAUGACUCGUUUGUUGCCCACCAUUGCGUGCUCGCAGCUCGGUCUGCUGUCUUCAGUGCAGAGCUCUUUGGCCCUAUGAAGGAGGGCGCAAUCGGAAGUGUCAUCCAUGUAGAAGACAUGGAAGCAAAAGUGUUUAAGGCCUUGCUUAGCUUUAUUUACAUCGACUCACUACCCGAGAUGGAGAUAGAUAUGGUGGAGGAGGAAAUAGAAGUUGAAGAAGCGUUGUGGCUGCAACACUUACUCGUAGCGGCAGAUAGAUAUGACCUACAAAGGCUGAAGGCACUCUGUGAAGAGAAGUUAUGCAAACAUAUAGAUGUGGGCUCAGUAAACACUAUUUUAGCUCUAGCCGAGGGGCAUAACUGUUGUGUUUUGAAGGAGUUAUCCCUUGAGUUUCUCAAGACUCCUUCUAAUUUGAAAGACAUAAUGGCGACCGACAGAUUGGACGAUAUAAUCAGAACCUGCCCCUCUCUUGUAAAGGAGCUCAUUGCCAAGUUAGCUUCCCUCAAAUAG
rnacentral:rRNA from 1 species